ACAUUGGUGGUAUAGUGUGAGCAUAGCUGCCUUGCAAGCAGUUGACUUGGGUUCAACUCCCACCCAAUGCA
rfam:TPA: Bos taurus chromosome 16, whole genome shotgun sequence.